AUUUUUCGACCUAAUUUUUUUUUACAAAAUGAGAUCAGCUCAUCAGUAAACAAAUUAUGUAAUUAACAAAAAAGUUUUUUAAAAAUUGUUUAAGUACCAAACAUAUUAAUUCGAUCAAGAAUAUAAAUUUUAUUUUUCCAUAUGAUAUUUCUUAAAUAAUUUUCAUAUAAAUUCACUUUGCGCAAAGCGCAUGUAUUAUCCUAGUUUGUUAGGAUUUCCAUUUGAUAAAUCGAGCUGAAAUUUGGUUUUUUUUUUUAAGUUUGGAAUUUAAAUAGUCUUAAGAGUUAGCUUUUAUAUGGAAUGGUUUUU
rnacentral:lncRNA from 1 species